AACCAGUCUGAGGCUAUGAGUAU
rnacentral:piRNA from 1 species